rnacentral:rRNA from 1 species
CGGAGGAUGCAAGCGUUAUCCGGAUUCAUUGGGUUUAAAGGGUGCGUAGGCGGCUUUUUAAGUCAGUGGUGAAAUCCUGCCGCUUAACGGUAGAAUUGCCAUUGAUACUGAAGAGCUUGAGUACAGUUGAGGUAAGCGGAAUGUGUAGUGUAGCGGUGAAAUGCUUAGAUAUUACACAGAACACCAAUUGCGAAGGCAGCUUACUAAACUGUCACUGACGCUGAUGCACGAAAGCGUGGGGAGCGAACAGGAUUAGAUACCCUGGUAGUCCACGCCGUAAACGAUGAUCACUCGCUGUAUGCGAUACACAGUAUGCGGCCAAGCGAAAGCAUUAAGUGAUCCACCUGGGGGAUACGAUCGCAAGGUUG